rnacentral:rRNA from 2 species
UGCUUUCAACGCGACCCCAGGUCAGGC